GCCGCAGCCGUCCGCGCCACAGUCCGGUGCAGCAUGCAGGCCCCGCAGCUCGUCUUCGUCUUGGCGCUGUGCCUCGCUACUGCCGCCGCGGUGCUGCAGGCGCCGUGGUGCCCCACGACGGCGUCGAGCGGUGUGCAGGACGACAUGGGGCUUUGCGCCGAGGAGCUCAAGGACGCCAUCCUCAGGGAAUACGCCAAGUCAGUUGCAGCCAGGCGCACGAGGAGUGCAGAAAUGUCGGACGAAGACCGCCUGCUGGUUGGG